CAGCAGCCGCGGUAAUGCGUAGGUGGCAAGCGUUGUCCGGAAUUAUUGGGCGCAAAGGGCUCGCAGGCGGUUUCUUAAGUCUGAUGUGAAAGCCCCCGGCUCAACCGGGGAGGGUCAUUGGAAACUGGGAAACUUGAGUGCAGAAGAGGAGAGUGGAAUUCCACGUGUAGCGGUGAAAUGCGUAGAGAUGUGGAGGAACACCAGUGGCGUAGGCGACUCUCUGGUCUGUAACUGACGCUGAGGAGCGAAAGCGUGGGGAGCGAACAGGAUUAGAUACCCCCGUAGUCCCUGUCUCUUAUAA
rnacentral:rRNA from 1 species